rnacentral:rRNA from 1 species
AUCACUAAGCGGAGGAAGAGAAACUAACCAGGAUUCCCCUAGUAACGGCGAGUGAAGCGGGAAGAGCCCAGCACCGAAUCCCACGCCCUUGGGCGUCGUGAACUGUGGUGUUAGGGACAGCCUCUGGGGCUGUGUACCGGUGUCCGAGUCCUCCUGAUUGGGGCCUUUACCCAGGGCGGGUGUCAGGCCUCUACCGGCACUAGUCGCAGUCUCUAAGAGCGUCCUUGGAGUCGGGUUGUUUGUGACUGCAGCCCAAAGAGGGUGGUAAACUCCAUCUAAGGCUAAAUACUGACACGAGUCCGAUAGCAGACAAGUACCGUGAGGGAAAGUU